AUAGCGGAUGCCGAAAAGCUAAAAUUAUAAAUAGAGUAGGCA
rnacentral:ncRNA from 1 species